AAUCAACGCUGGCGGCGUGCCUAACACAUGCAAGUCGAACGCGAAGGUCCCGCAAGGGAUUGGUAGCGUGGCAAACGGGUGAGUAACACGUGGGUGACCUGCCUUCGAGUGGGGGAUAACGUCCCGAAAGGGACGCUAAUACCGCAUGACAUCCUGCCUUUGAAGAGGCGGAGAUCAAAGGCCGGGGAUCGCAAGACCUGGCGCUUGAAGGACGGGGCCCGCGCCUGAUUAGCAGUUGGGUGGGGUAAUGGCUCACCAAGGCAACGAUCAGU
rnacentral:rRNA from 1 species